UGCAGCUCAACAAGGACACAGUGUGC
rnacentral:piRNA from 1 species